rnacentral:rRNA from 1 species
AUUGAACGCUGGCGGCAUGCUUUACACAUGCAAGUCGAACGGUAACAGGGAGCUUGCUCCGCUGACGAGUGGCGAACGGGUGAGUAAUAUAUCGGAACGUACCCAAGAGUGGGGGAUAACGUAGCGAAAGUUACGCUAAUACCGCAUACGAUCCAAGGAUGAAAGUGGGGGACCGCAAGGCCUCAUGCUCCUGGAGCGGCCGAUAUCUGAUUAGCUAGUUGGUGAGGUAAAGGCUCACCAAGGCAACGAUCAGUAGCUGGUCUGAGAGGACGACCAGCCACACUGGGACUGAGACACGGCACAGACUCCUACGGGAGGCAGCAGUGGGGAAUUUUGGACAAUGGGGGCAACCCUGAUCCAGCAAUGCCGCGUGAGUGAAGAAGGCCUUCGGGUUGUAAAGCUCUUUUGUCAGGGAAGAAACGGGAGUGGCUAAUAUCCAUUGCUAAUGACGGUACCUGAAGAAUAAGCACCGGCUAACUACGUGCCAGCCGCCGCAGUAACAC